rnacentral:rRNA from 1 species
GACGAACGCUGGCGGCGUGCCUAAUACAUGCAAGUGGGACGCAAGGAAACACACUGUGCUUGCACACCGUGUUUUCUUGAGUCGCGAACGGGUGAGUAACGCGUAGGUAACCUGCCUAUUAGCGGGGGAUAACUAUUGGAAACGAUAGCUAAUACCGCAUAAUAUUAAUUAUUGCAUGAUAAUUGAUUGAAAGAUGCAAGCGCAUCACUAGUAGAUGGACCUGCGUUGUAUUAGCUAGUUGGUAAGGUAAGAGCUUACCAAGGCGACGAUACAUAGCCGACCUGAGAGGGUGAUCGGCCACACUGGGACUAAGACACGGCCCAGACUCCUACGGGAGGCAGCAGUAGGGAAUCUUCGGCAAUGGACGAAAGUCUGAUCGAGCAACGCCGCGUGAGUGAAGAAGGUUUUCGGAUCGUAAAGCUCUGUUGUAAGUCAAGAACGUGUGUGAGAGUGGAAAG